UGGAAGUAAAAAGUCGUAACAAGGUCUCCGUUGGUGAACCAGCGGAGGGAUCAUUACCGAGUUUACAACUCCCAAACCCAAUGUGAACGUUACCAAACUGUUGCCUCGGCGGGAUCUCUGCCCCGGGUGCGUCGCAGCCCCGGACCAAGGCGCCCGCCGGAGGACCAACCAAAACUCUUAUUGUAUACCCCCUCGCGGGUUUUUUACUAUCUGAGCCAUCUCGGCGCCCCUCGUGGGCGUUUCGAAAAUGAAUCAAAACUUUCAACAACGGAUCUCUUGGUUCUGGCAUCGAUGAAGAACGCAGCGAAAUGCGAUAAGUAAUGUGAAUUGCAGAAUUCAGUGAAUCAUCGAAUCUUUGAACGCACAUUGCGCCCGCCAGUAUUCUGGCGGGCAUGCCUGUCCGAGCGUCAUUUCAACCCUCGAACCCCUCCGGGGGGUCGGCGUUGGGGAUCGGCCCUUUACGGGGCCGGCCCCGAAAUACAGUGGCGGUCUCGCCGCAGCCUCUCCUGCGCAGUAGUUUGCACACUCGCAUCGGGAGCGCGGCGCGUCCACAGCCGUUAAACACCCCAAACUUCUGAAAUGUUG
rnacentral:rRNA from 1 species